rnacentral:rRNA from 1 species
AGAGUUUGAUCAUGGCUCAGAUUGAACGCUGGCGGCAGGCCUAACACAUGCAAGUCGAGCGGUAGCACAGAGAGCUUGCUCUCGGGUGACGAGCGGCGGACGGGUGAGUAAUGUCUGGGAAACUGCCUGAUGGAGGGGGAUAACUACUGGAAACGGUAGCUAAUACCGCAUAACGUCGCAAGACCAAAGUGGGGGACCUUCGGGCCUCAUGCCAUCAGAUGUGCCCAGAUGGGAUUAGCUAGUAGGUGGGGUAAUGGCUCACCUAGGCGACGAUCCCUAGCUGGUCUGAGAGGAUGACCAGCCACACUGGAACUGAGACACGGUCCAGACUCCUACGGGAGGCAGCAGUGGGGAAUAUUGCACAAUGGGCGCAAGCCUGAUGCAGCCAUGCCGCGUGUAUGAAGAAGGCCUUCGGGUUGUAAAGUACUUUCAGCGAGGAGGAAGGCGUUAAGGUUAAUAACCUUGGCGAUUGACGUUACUCGCAGAAGAAGCACCGGCUAACUCCGUGCCAGCAGCCGCGGUAAUACGGAGGGUGCAAGCGUUAAUCGGAAUUACUGGGCGUAAAGCGCACGCAGGCGGUCUGUUAAGUCAGAUGUGAAAUCCCCGGGCUCAACCUGGGAACUGCAUUUGAAACUGGCAGGCUUGAGUCUUGUAGAGGGGGGUAGAAUUCCAGGUGUAGCGGUGAAAUGCGUAGAGAUCUGGAGGAAUACCGGUGGCGAAGGCGGCCCCCUGGACAAAGACUGACGCUCAGGUGCGAAAGCGUGGGGAGCAAACAGGAUUAGAUACCCUGGUAGUCCACGCUGUAAACGAUGUCGACUUGGAGGUUGUUCCCUUGAGGAGUGGCUUCCGGAGCUAACGCGUUAAGUCGACCGCCUGGGGAGUACGGCCGCAAGGUUAAAACUCAAAUGAAUUGACGGGGGCCCGCACAAGCGGUGGAGCAUGUGGUUUAAUUCGAUGCAACGCGAAGAACCUUACCUACUCUUGACAUCCAGAGAACUUAGCAGAGAUGCUUUGGUGCCUUCGGGAACUCUGAGACAGGUGCUGCAUGGCUGUCGUCAGCUCGUGUUGUGAAAUGUUGGGUUAAGUCCCGCAACGAGCGCAACCCUUAUCCUUUGUUGCCAGCGGUCCGGCCGGGAACUCAAAGGAGACUGCCAGUGAUAAACUGGAGGAAGGUGGGGAUGACGUCAAGUCAUCAUGGCCCUUACGAGUAGGGCUACACACGUGCUACAAUGGCAUAUACAAAGAGAAGCGACCUCGCGAGAGCAAGCGGACCUCAUAAAGUAUGUCGUAGUCCGGAUUGGAGUCUGCAACUCGACUCCAUGAAGUCGGAAUCGCUAGUAAUCGUAGAUCAGAAUGCUACGGUGAAUACGUUCCCGGGCCUUGUACACACCGCCCGUCACACCAUGGGAGUGGGUUGCAAAAGAAGUAGGUAGCUUAACCUUCGGGAGGGCGCUUACCACUUUGUGAUUCAUGACUGGGGUGAAGUCGUAACAAGGUAACCGUAGGGGAACCUGCGGUUGGAUCACCU